rnacentral:misc_RNA from 1 species
CCAAUUUUAGCGAACCUGAUCUUUUUUGGUCAUGGUCUCGCGAAAAUCGUAUUUAAAACCCCCACUCUUAUAUAUGAAUCAUUUUUUUGUGUAUAUAAAAAAUAAGA